UAUUAUUUAAAUAAUUUAAAUUUAUACUUUAUAUAGGUAUGGAAAUUAUUUGGGAUAUCCAAACAAUAAUCAUCAUAAAAAAUGCAAUAAACAUUAUUCAGUAUUGUGUGCUUGGUGCUUACCCUAGCACUCCGUUGGACUAGUUUUACGCUUGUCCCCAUGUACAUGAUCACCGGUGGCAUUACACUAAUUAAAAUUUUUAUAACCAGAAGCUUUUAAAUAUUAAUCCAACGGUAUUUAUGUCAGUUGUCUGGCGAUUUUACGACCGCAACACAAGCGUAUUAGGGACAAACAAAAUUCGAGAAAAACCUUUGGUCUCGUAAAAAACUAAUUUCGAAGAAUCAAGACACAUGAAAAACUUUUUAACAGCCUAAACUCUCAGUUCAAGAGUGAGAAGUUUUUUAAUAUCUUUUAUUAUGAUAAAUAAUAUUAUAUAUUUUACUAUAAUAAAAUCAA